UUCCUACGGGGCGCAGCAGUGGGGAAUAUUGGACAAUGGGGGGAACCCUGAUCCAGCGACGCCGCGUGAGUGAAGAAGUAUUUCGGUAUGUAAAGCUCUAUCAGCAGGGAAGAAAGAAAUGACGGUACCUGACUAAGAAGCCCCGGCUAACUACGUGCCAGCAGCCGCGGUAAUACGGAGGAUGCGAGCGUUAUCCGGAUUUAUUGGGUUUAAAGGGUGCGUAGGCGGACGCUUAAGUCAGCGGUAAAAGUGCGGGGCUCAAUCUCGUCGAGCCGUUGAAACUGGGUGCCUUGAGUGGGCGAGAA
rnacentral:rRNA from 1 species